GAAAGUUCUAGAGCUUACAGCUCUAGUUUUCUGUUUUCACCACAGAACGUUCCCCGCCUCUGUGCCCCUCCAUGAACCCAGCUCCCAGCCCUUCUUCAAGACCCACAUGGGCUUUCCACAAGAACAGCCUCUGCGCCAGUUUCCAACCACCUUUUAAGGAAAUUCCAAGAGGCUCUGGAAACAUCUCCUAUCUAGCUACUGCUUGUUGGAAAUCUGGUGCCCUCACAAAGGGCCCUGAGAUUCUUGGCAGGAAAAAAAGGACUCUGUAAAAAUCAAGGCUCUGCGGAUACACAAGCACAUACAGGACUGAGCAGAGAGCUGAAGUGGAAGCAUGUCAUGGCUAGAAUUAUCCUAUAGUCUAAAUUGUCUAUAGACUCUGAG